GCUCGUCCGACACGUACAACCGUUCCGCUGCAUCCCCUGGCAGAGUUGCUUUUAUACCUGCAACGAUUCUAUUAAAUGCUUGAGUCUAGUGCAUUUCUGUGAUGUCCAAGCGAGAAAUCGUAGCCGAGGCGAAAGCAAACCUGAGAUGUUAUGUAUAGCACUCAGGCCAACGUUUGGCACAUAUACCUGCUUUUUAAGGCUGUCGACCGCCGUUGUGUGCCUAUGAGCUGAUUAUGAAGACAUUACGUUCGCUGAGCGGUUGUUGGUGUAUAGCGGCGGAGACGCUUGGAUUUGAAAGGCAGCAUGCUGAGGCAAUGAAUGGACUCUGUGUGUUUCAAUUAUGCAAUCAACGAUAAACAUCUAUCGAAGCUGGCUUCAUAGCAUCAGGCUCCAGCGAAAAACAGUUGUCGGCGAUUGGCUUCCCUUUGAAGUUCGGAAGGAUACCUGCGGUGCGGCCGUCAGGUCGCACAAAAGAAGUAGUCCUUUGGACUACCCGAUGUAAUAUCUGCAGGAAUGAAUGUGGUCUUGCAGUAGCUCUGUGCCUAAUUUGGACCGAGCGAGAUGCGUGUUCGGCUUAUAAAUGGUUACCGUAAUAUGUGGGCACUAUCGUUUUCAUCUAGUAUGCUCACCCUGAAGGUUACGGCGAAGAUAGAAAUACAGGGUAACCGUGCUUCAGAACCUUCUCUUGUGACACACCUAUGGCAAUCCUCCACCAAAACCGAGGCGGGCAAUGUAACUCGCCUUUGGCUGAUGUACCCCUCCUUUUCAAUGAACACACUCCUGCGUUAGGAGCGCGUAUGCACCCUGUAUGUCGUGUUACCUGACUGGGGCCACGCGCUAUACCUCUACAACCCUUGUCCACGUC
rnacentral:lncRNA from 1 species